rnacentral:sRNA from 1 species
CACAGACCUAGUGAUAUAGGUGGCUCUGUGAUGAGAAGUAUUUGUAAAAUGCCUGUGAAUGCAUCUAUUUAAGAAGUGUAUGCCCCAAAUUGUAUACAUGAGGGUGUAGAUAUUGGGAACAUAUGGUUCCUUGCAAUGUUGAACAACCCCAGAGGAAGGGUUUGACUGGGGCUGGGUCCCAGAAGUACCUCCUGAGGCUCAUGGGCAUCCCUGAGGGUCAUCAACCCACCCAAACAACUUCCCAGAAUACAGAAUAGGAAAAUGGUUCUGCAGAGAGUUGCACUGGAAGGCUGAAGGUGGCCUCUCCUGUGGUCCUUUUGUCUCUGAUAGAGAGCGAGCUGGCCAAAACGGAGAGCACUUAUUUGGCUGAGAUGCACAGACAAUCUCCCAAAGAGAAGGCCAGCAAGACUACAACGGUGCGGAGGAGGAAGCGUCCCCAUGCCCACCUGCGAGUCCCUCACCUGGAAGAGGUGAUGAGCCCGGUCACCACGCCCACAGAUGAGGAUGUGGGCCACAGGAUCAAACAUGUGGCAGGUUCCACGCAGACGCGGCAUAUCCCCGAGGACACCCCCAACGGUUUCCACCUGCAGAGCGUGUCCAAGCUGCUGCUGGUUAUCAGCUGUGUUCUGGUGCUGCUGGUCAUCCUUAACAUGAUGCUCUUCUACAAACUCUGGAUGUUGGAAUACACCACGCAGACCCUCACUGCCUGGCAGGGUCUAAGGCUCCAAGAAAGGUUACCCCAGUCUCAGACAGAAUGGGCCCAGCUCUUAGAGUCCCAACAAAAGUACCACGAUACUGAGCUCCAAAAAUGGAGGGAGAUCAUCAAAUCCUCAGUGAUGCUCCUUGACCAGAUGAAGGACUCACUCAUCAACCUUCAGAACGGCAUCAGGUCCCGCGACUACACGUCGGAAAGUGAAGAAAAGAGGAAUCGCUAUCAUUGACAAGGCAGGAACAGGGUGGCUGCAAGAGGCCUGUGCAAUACAUGUACAUAGACCAUAUAAAUAUAUAUAUAUAAAUAUAUAUAUAUACAGAAUAUAAAUAUAUAU